UUCCAUGUGAACUGGAAUGACCUCCAGGAAUUGAUGUAGAGUAAAAGGAGCAGAACCAAGAAAACAUUGUACACAGAGACGGAUACACUGUGGCACAAUCAUGAUUCCAGUGCUAAGCUGAGUUGAUCCAUGCUGUGCUUGACUAAUGGCACACGAGGCAUGACAUCUGAGCUACAUUGUAUGAUGCCCUGGGGACUUCUCUGAUUCUAUGCUUCCAGGUUGUUCCUCUGAUCACCUGAACUUACUCCUCAACAGCAACGAUGAAGUCUGAUCAUGAAAAGAAUCAACUGACCUUGCUCUUCAGUGUCCUGGGCUGGGAAAAGAAACAGUAAGUGUGUCUUGGUGGUUUAUGAAUCAUUUUGAACAGGAUACUUGGCUUUUUUUCUAAAGCAAUCAAUUGAGCUGGAGGAAAUGAGAUGACUGUAGAAUUAAAUUUCAAGCUAUGCCCAAGACUUGUUGCUUUAGGUUCAUGAUGCAUCUGGGCAGCCAAUGAGGGUGACAUUGUUUGGCAAGGCUGCAAAGCCCAAGGCUGAAUCUAAAUCUGUGCCUCCUAAGGACUGAGCUUCUCAAAAGAGUUAAACCUUUGAACAUUCCCAGAAUUUAUGCUUACGUGGCAAUAUCUAGUACUUUGAAACAGAUGUUCAAGUUUUCUGGAAUUACAUGUUCUUGGAUUGUUAUGUGUGUUUGUGUAGGAAUAUCUAGACCCAUGUUUACCUCAGUGAGGAGAACUUUUGGGAUUGAAACUCUCUUUGCUUUCUGUAUCCAGACCAGCUAUUUUCCUCUAGUUUACAGAGAGCUGUUUUGGGGCAUGUAGCUGUUAAAUGACUUUCCCAGUGCUAAAUCCACUGUAUAUAUGGAUAACCAGUAUGUAUCAAAAGUAGAACUUGAACCCAGGCCUCCUUGAUGCUCUGCUGUAGGAAAUCUCUUACUAUGGACAACUAACAUUUCAAGUCUUUAUAUGGGAUGGCUCUGUCUAGAGGAGGGAAGGGCAUAUUUAGAAAUGAAGGUAAUAAAGCAUAGUUAAGAUAAAAAAAAACCUUGCUAGAGUUAUUACAAGAAAAUAAUAUACAGGCAUUACUAGAAAGAAAUACUUAGUUAACACAGAUAUUAUCAGCUUCCCUGACUGUAGAACAUGAGCUAAAUGGAACUGGUAGGUAGUACAGUGGAUAAAGCACCAAGUCUGGAGUCAUGAGGACCUGGGUUCAAAUGUGGUCUCAGAUAUUCCUCGCUGUGUGACUCUGGGAAAGUCAUUUAAUCCCAAAUGUCUAGCCCAUGUCACUCUUCUGUCUUAGAAUUGGUACUAAGAUAUGAUAAGAUUUUAAGAAAAAGAAAAUGAACGAGAUGUUGUAGAGAAUUGGAAGCUAGGCUGGAGACCUGCAGACACAGAUUCUA